AAAGGGACGGCUCUUGAUGCACGAGUAUUAAAAGAGUGAGCAGACUGUAAAGACAACACUUCUUUAUUGAAGGCAGAGACGAACAUUUUACAUUCAUCCCCAGAAGACAAAGGUGCAACCCAACCCUCCACUGUACAGCUCUCAGGACCAGAGCCUGUCUUCUCCAGACUACAAGAUGAGAACUGCAGUAUGUGCCAUCCUUCUCCUGAUGCUUCUGUGUCAAGGAGAAGCUCUGAGAUGCAACCACUGCAUUGCAGCUGGGAGCAGAAUGUGCACGCCAACCUUCACAGAAACCUGUUGGGACAGUUCUGAUGUAUGUGGUGCCGUCUCAUUCGGAUCAAGCACACUUCGUCAAUGCAUGCCCAGGUUGGUGUGUCGGGGAUAUAUGGCAUCGCCUGGUAUAUCUGCAAGAUGCUGCAGAACUGACCGCUGCAACUGAGCCUCUUCAUCACCGGCUGGACCGCAUCAUCUCUGAUCUCUGGAAGCUUCUCUGUUGGCUCCACUCUGUUGCAUUCAGAUGAAAA